rnacentral:rRNA from 1 species
AGAUGGGCAUGCGUUCCAUUAGCUAGUUGGUGAGGUAACUGCUCACCAAGGCUACGAUGGAUAGGGGGACUGAGAGGUUUAUCCCCCACACUGGUACUGAGACACGGACCAGACUCCUACGGGAGGCAGCAGUGAGGAAUAUUGGUCAAUGAGCGAAAGCCU